ACCUCCAAAAAAUUGAUCCAAGCAGAGCAUAAUGCUGCCUGAUAUUCUUGUAGAAUAAUUGGCUUGUACACGAUGCAAGUGUCAUCUUUAUAAUACUUGUGCUUGUUCUAAUUACCAUACUGUCUCCUUAGUAUCUAGGGUACACAGAAUAGCUCAGCAAGUCUGUGGGCUAACAUGAAUAGCAGUAUAAAAAGGUUAUGCUAUAACCUCUUAAGAGAAAGAGCAGGAAUAUUUACGUGAAUAAGAGUGUGUAAGGGACUGAUCCUGUAGCCUCUGACAACAACAUCCUUUGGGGGCACUGGUUUGUGUUGAGGCCGCUCCACUGCUGAUCUGGCUCUGUGCUAACGGCCUGGGAAAAGCAGCUGAAGCUGAGCAAAGUGCGUGGGACCCUGCACCCAUGUGGGAGACCUGAGUGACACUCCUCACUCUUGGCUUUGUCCUGGUCAUCGCAGCCAUCUGGAGAGUGAGCCAGAAGGUGGAAGAUCUGUCUCUUUCUCUGAAACAGUUUCAAACAAAAUAAAUAUAUAUAUUUGUUUUAUAUUCGACACAUACACAUAGAAAUGUCUCAGAUAGUUGACUAUGAGUGUGUGUUGAAGUGGAGAUGGGAAGGAACAGGAGGACAGAGCAGCCAUUCUGACGGGGUCUGCAGAGCUCUGAUUAGUGUCCAGUUCCACUGGAGUGAAUCCAGAAUGGAGGAACCCCUGUAGCUCCGGCUGGCAUAAUAACCUGAGUAGAUAAGAAGAACUGAAAAACAGAUCAAGAGGGGCAGUUACUGUGGCACAGGGAAUUAAGCUUCCGUUUGUGAUGCCCGCAUCUUGUGUUAGAGCAUCUGUUUGAGACCCA